UUUAUGUCAAAACUCACAAAUCAACACACACAUCACUCUAAUCCUUCUCCAAAACCGGCCCUCCCUCAAGUGGGAGUACUUUUAGGGCUUUUAUGCAAUUACAUAAAGUUUUGAUACUUUUGUGUAUUUGCACUUUGGCCCAAAAGUUUACAUUUUUACGUUUAGGUCCAAAAACGCUAAAGGACAAAUUGUUUUGCUCCUUUAAUGAAGCUUUUGCAUUGUUUAAAUU
rnacentral:lncRNA from 1 species